CGCGGGGUGGAGCAGCUCGGUAGCUCGUCGGGCUCAUAACCCGAAGGUCGUCGGUUCAAAUCCGGCCCCCGCAA
rfam:Aeromonas hydrophila subsp. hydrophila ATCC 7966, complete genome.